rnacentral:rRNA from 1 species
GCCCAUUUUGAUAGAAGUUUUAUGAUACCAGAUCCUUUCUGAUCUUUGAAGCUAAGCAGGGUCAGUCCUGGUUAGUACUUGGAUGGGAGACUUUCAAUGUGUACCAGGUGCAGUAGAUG